rnacentral:rRNA from 1 species
GACACGACUCUCGGCAAUGGAUAUCUCGGCUCUCGCAUCGAUGA